CCUACGGGCGGCAGCAGUGAGGAAUAUUGGUCAAUGGACGAGAGCCUGAACCAGCCAAGUAGCGUGAAGGAUGACUGCCCUACGGGUUGUAAACUUCUUUUAUAUGGGAAUAAAAUGUUGCACGUGUGGGAUUUUGUAUGUACCAUAUGAAUAAGGAUCGGCUAACUCCGUGCCAGCAGCCGCGGUAAUACGGAGGAUCCGAGCGUUAUCCGGAUUUAUUGGGUUUAAAGGGAGCGUAGGUGGGUUGUUAAGUCAGUUGUGAAAGUUUGCGGCUCAACCGUAAAAUUGCAAUUGAUACUGGCAGUCUUGAGUACAGUAGAGGUAGGCGGAAUUCGUGGUGUAGCGGUGAAAUGCUUAGAUAUCACGAAGAACUCCGAUUGCGAAGGCAGCUCACUAGACUGCAACUGACACUGAGGCUCGAAAGUGUGGGUAUCAAACAGGAUUAGAUACCCUUGUAGUC
rnacentral:rRNA from 1 species